rnacentral:rRNA from 1 species
GCUUCUAGUUGAAAGAGAAGAUUUAUUCAAGAAUUUUGUGUAAAAUGUCGGCGAGCGGCGGACGGCUGAGUAACGCGUGGGAACGUACCCCAAAGUGAGGGAUAACGCAUCGAAAGGUGUGCUAAUACCGCAUAUGGUCUUCGGAUUAAAGCCUUCGGGCGCUUUGGGAACGGCCUGCGUAAGAUUAGAUAGUUGGUGGGGUAAUGGCCUACCAAGUCGACGAUCUUUAACUGGUUUGAGAGGAUGAUCAGUCAGACUGGAACUGAGACACGGUCCAGACUCCUACGGGAGGCAGCAGUGAGGAAUCUUCCACAAUGGGCGAAAGCCUGAUGGAGCAACGCCGCGUGCAGGAUGAAGGCCUUCGGGUUGUAAACUGCUUUUAUAAGUGAGGAUUAUGACAGUAACUUAUGAAUAAGGAUCGGCUAACUACGUGCCAGCAGCCGCGGUCAUACGUAGGAUCCGAGCGUUAUCCGGAGUGACUGGGCGUAAAGAGUUGCGUAGGUGGUUCAAUAAGCGAAUAGUGAAAGCUGGUGGCUCAACCAUUCAGAUUAUUAUUCGAACUGUUGAACUCGAGAGCAGAAGAGGUAGCUGGAAUUUCUAGUGUAGGAGUGAAAUCCGUAGAUAUUAGAAGGAACACCGAUGGCGUANGCAGGCUACUGGGCUGUUUCUGACACUGANGCACGAAAGCGUGGGGNAGCGAACCGGAUUAAAUACCCCGGGUAGUCCACGCCCUAAACGAUGGAUACUAGCUGUUUGGGGUAUCGACCCCCUGAGUAGCGAAGCUA